GACGAACGCUGGCGGCGUGCUUAACACAUGCAAGUCGAACGGAAAGGCCCUGCUUUUGUGGGGUGCUCGAGUGGCGAACGGGUGAGUAACACGUGAGUAACCUGCCCUUGACUUUGGGAUAACUUCAGGAAACUGGGGCUAAUACCGGAUAGGAGCUCCUGCUGCAUGGUGGGGGUUGGAAAGUUUCGGCGGUUGGGGAUGGACUCGCGGCUUAUCAGCUUGUUGGUGGGGUAGUGGCUUACCAAGGCUUUGACGGGUAGCCGGCCUGAGAGGGUGACCGGCCCCAUUGGGACUGAGAUACGGCCCAGACUCCUACGGGAGGCAGCAGGGGGGAAUAUUGCACAAAGGGGGGAAGCCUGAAGCAGCAACGCCGGGUGGGGGAUGACGGCCUUCGGGGUGUAAACCGCUUUCGCCUGUGACGAAGGGUGAGUGACGGUAAUGGGUAAAGAAGCAACGGCUAACUACGUG
rnacentral:rRNA from 1 species